UACAGAGGGGGCAAGCGUUGUUCGGAAUUACUGGGCGUAAAGGGCGCGUAGGCGGCCUUCUAAGUCGAACGUGAAAUCCCCGGGCUCAACCCGGGAACUGCGUCCGAUACUGGAAGGCUUGAAUCCGGGAGAGGGAUGUGGAAUUCCAGGUGUAGCGGUGAAAUGCGUAGAUAUCUGGAGGAACACCGGUGGCGAAGGCGACAUCCUGGGCUAAUACUGACACUGAGGUGCGAAAGCGUGGGGAGCAAACAGG
rnacentral:rRNA from 1 species